GGGCUAGGAUGAAAUUUGAAAAAAUAGGCAGGACAGGAGUUUUGAGUAAUACAAAAAGGCAGGAUGAGACACUUGCAAAAAAAAAAAGUCAGGAUGACGAAUUUAUGUAAAAAAAGUCAGGAUAAACUAAAAAAAAAAGCAGGACCGAAUAGAGUGAAAAAUAAAAAGGCUGGACAGAGAUUACAACUAAAAAAAAAAAUGCAGGACAACAUUUUUCAUCCUAGCCCCCCCCCCCCCCCCCCAUAAAAAUCAAUACACGUCUUGGCGUUAAUGAAAAGCAUUUUUCCCCAACUCCUGAAUUUUUCCCCAAACCCAAAUUUUAAUAUGCAAAAAUCGAUCCAUUCCCAUUCCGCCCUAUCAAAUGCUUUUUGUUGAUCCAAAAAUAAUAUUGCACCCUCCUCAUUUUCUAAUUCACAAAAAUCUAUAACAUCUUGUAGUAAUCUAUUGCCUUGAAAAAUGUUGCGCCAUUUGACAAACCCUUUUUGGUCGAAAUCAACUUGAUUAUUUGCGGUAAUACAUUUUUUAACCUUUCCGCGAGUACUUUGGAAAUAAUUUUAGUCCGUGUUCAAGAGCGUUAUAGGACGCCAAUUUUUUAUGUCUUCUCUCUCCCCAGACAAAACAGAAGGGGGGGGGGGGGCAAGGGUUUAACUGUUAUGCUGUUAUGGGGCAAUUUAAUUCUUUGUUAUCUGUUAUUUUGAAAAUACAUUUGCUGUUAGCUGUUAUUGUCUUAUUCUUUGUUAGCUGUUGUUGGGCUUUUAGUUUUUUUGUUAUCUGUUAUUGUGAUAAUGUAUUUGCUGUUAACUGUUAUUGAAAAUUGGAAUGUUAGUAUUUUUUUUGACAGUCAAUAUUCGGUAUAAAUUGAAGAUCAUUGGCCAUUGGGGUCUAUCACUACUAAUAUGUUUGUCCCGUAUUCAGAGAAGGAUUCCAUUAACAUAUACCCAUCACAGAAGUGAGGUCCAGGACAAUUCAAGUAUAUCUUGUGAUUAUCCUUUGUAAUAAAUUUCAUUUUUUUUAUGAAUGUGUAUUUAGAAUUAUCUUAUUUUUUUGUAUGAGAGUAAUGUUCCUUGUUUUCCGUACAAACAUAUUAAAUUAAAACAAUUCUUAAUAUGACAAAAAGGAAAACAUAUGGCCAGGAAUAUCUGACAAGGAUCUCAAUUAAGGACUAGGUCCUAACAACCACUUAACCUUUUAUAUAAUAUGGUACAUAGACUCAGCUCUGUAAUUCUUUUCAAAGUAGAACCAAAUGCAUUGUACAAUGAAAGUUCCAAC
rnacentral:lncRNA from 1 species